UACAGAGGGGGCAAGCGUUUAUUCGGAAUUAUUGGGCGUAAAGGGCGCGUAGGCGGCCUGGCAAGUGGAAGGUGAAAUCCCUCGGCUUAACCGAGGAACUGCCUCCCAAACUGCUUGGCUUGAGACCGGGAGAGGUGAGUGGAAUUCCCAGUGUAGCGGUGAAAUGCGUAGAUAUUGGGAGGAACACCAGUGGCGAAGGCGGCUCACUGGACCGGUACUGACGCUGAUGCGCGAAAGCGUGGGGAGCAAACAGG
rnacentral:rRNA from 1 species